AAUGAACGUUGGCGGCAUGGAUUAGGCAUGCAAGUCGGGGGAAUCCCAGCAAGGGGGGAACCGGCGUAAGGGGCAGUAAGGCAUGGGUACCUACCUUGGGGUUCGGGAUAGCCAUCAGAGAUGGUGGGUAAUACCGGAUGACGUCGUGAGACCAAAGAUUUAUCGCCCUUAGAGGGGCCCAUGUGAUAUUAGCUAGUUGGUGGGGUAACGGCCCACCAAGGCGAAGAUGUCUAGCGGGUGUGAGAGCACGACCCGCGCCACUCGCACUGAGACACUGGCGAGACACCUACGGGUGGCUGCAGUCGGGGAUCUUCGGCAAUGAGCGCAAGCUUGACCGAGCGAUGCCGCGUGAGCGAUGAAGGCCUUCGGGUUGUAAAGCUCUUUAGUGGGGGAGAAAAGCCGCAAGGUGUGAUCUAUCCCAAAAAUAAGCACGGGCUAAGUUCGUGCCAGCAGCCGCCGUAA
rnacentral:rRNA from 1 species